rnacentral:snRNA from 1 species
AAUGCAGCCCCAAUCGGGCGG